CCUACGGGAGGCAGCAGUGAGGAAUAUUGGUCAAUGGACGAGAGUCUGAACCAGCCAAGUAGCGUGAAGGAUGACUGCCCUAUGGGUUGUAAACUUCUUUUAUAUGGGAAUAAAAUGUUCCACGUGUGGGAUUUUGUAUGUACCAUAUGAAUAAGGAUCGGCUAACUCCGUGCCAGCAGCCGCGGUAAUACGGAGGAUCCGAGCGUUAUCCGGAUUUAUUGGGUUUAAAGGGAGCGUAGGUGGGUUGUUAAGUCAGUUGUGAAAGUUUGCGGCUCAACCGUAAAAUUGCAGUUGAAACUGGCAGUCUUGAGUACAGUAGGGGUGGGCGGAAUGCGUGGUGUAGCGGUGAAAUGCUUAGAUAUCACGAAGAACUCCGAUUGCGAAGGCAGUUCACUGGACUGCAACUGACACUGAGGCUCGAAAGUGUGGGUAUCAAACAGGAUUAGAUACCCGUGUAGUC
rnacentral:rRNA from 1 species